rnacentral:rRNA from 1 species
UGUCCAGGGGGCCGCCUUCGCCACCGGUAUUCCUCCAGAUCUCUACGCAUUUCACCGCUACACCUGGAAUUCUACCCCCCUCUACAAGACUCUAGCCUGCCAGUUUCGAAUGCAGUUCCCAGGUUGAGCCCGGGGAUUUCACAUCCGACUUGACAGACCGCCUGCGUGCGCUUUACGCCCAGUAAUUCCGAUUAACGCUUGCACCCUCCGUAUUACCGCGGCUGCUGGCACGGAGUUAGCCGGUGCUUCUUCUGCGGGUAACGUCAAUCGAUGAGGUUAUUAACCUCACCGCCUUCCUCCCCGCUGAAAGUGCUUUACAACCCGAAGGCCUUCUUCACACACGCGGCAUGGCUGCAUCAGGCUUGCGCCCAUUGUGCAAUAUUCCCCACUGCUGCCUCCCGUAGGAGUCUGGACCGUGUCUCAGUUCCAGUGUGGCUGGUCAUCCUCUCAGACCAGCUAGGGAUCGUCGCCUAGGUGAGCCGUUACCCCACCUACUAGCUAAUCCCAUCUGGGCACAUCUGAUGGCAUGAGGCCCGAAGGUCCCCCACUUUGGUCUUGCGACGUUAUGCGGUAUUAGCUACCGUUUCCAGUAGUUAUCCCCCUCCAUCAGGCAGUUUCCCAGACAUUACUCACCCGUCCGCCGCUCGUCACCCGAGAGCAAGCUCUCUGUGGCUACCGCUCGACUUGCAUGUGUUAGGCCUGCCGCCAG